ACGGGAGUGACGUGGGGAAUCGGUGUGUGCGCGCGGGGCGCACGGAGAGAUAGAUAUGUACGCGAGUGUUGAACGGCAGCAUCGCGAUAUCGGCGAACGCGGUUUUCUGUGUUAGUCGGAGGUGUUGGUGAGAGAGUCGGUCGGUCGGUCGGUCGGUUGGUCGGUUGGUCGGUCGGUCGGUUGGUUUCAAUCGUAAAACCGCUGCCUCUGGGUACCCGAGGCGCACCAGACGCGACUGCGAGGCUCGGGGGUGUGUUGGUGCGGUCCGCGGCUGUGUGGUCGGUCGUCGUUCAAGUCCGGCGCUGAUCCUGUAGCCCUCUCCCUUCCUCUUCCUCUUCUACAACGUCCGAGCGUUCGCCGUCCACACUCUGCCGCAUGCAUUUCGCUGCGGCGUGCCUCGUACGAGUUCGGUGUGCGGUCUGUCUCGUUCUUUCUUUAUACGCCUGAUUCGUCCGUAAGUCCGUCUCGUAGCGUCUGUGUGAUACCGCGCGCGACUCAAACCUCCACCCGAGUCACCCGAGUCCCGAACAGCCUCUGAAAACCGAAUAGUACGAAGUACGAAGUACGAACCUCACGGCUACGGUAGUGAGUUACCGACUGCAUGGAAGCGCGCAUCGGAGGUUCGCAACUCACGCCUCGAUCGCGAAACCCAUGCUGCCUCUGUUGCUGCCGCUGCUGCUGCCGCUGCUUAAGACACUGCAGUUUGAUACGGCUACCGUUUCUCCUCGCACCGAUUCGCACCCACGCCCGCGAUUUUUUUCCAUCAAUUUUCGCACGAAGAAACAUCAUUGUUUUUUUUUUUUUUCCAACGAUUUUUCACCGUCACCGACGAUCCUUGUGCGGAAAACAUUUUGUUCUCGUAAUAUCGUCCUUCGUUUUUUUUCGAAUUUUUUUCGCGUUCGUUCCGAAGGGCGAGAUCGGUAUCACCGUUGGAAUCGCAUCCGCGUUUCGUCGUCGAACGUGCGAAUUGUUUUAUCGGGCAUCGGAAAAAAAUUGAGACAUCGUGAUACCCGCCGCUGCAGUUGCGGCUGCACUUCUUCCGUCCCGUGUAACACAUUGUACUAAGUGCACACGCGGCAACAUUGUUGCGGGCUAAUUAUAAACGCGUAACACGAUUUUAAAACACGCAAUCUACGUAACCAAAUAAUUCGGAGAUUAUUCCGUACUCGGAUUAAUAAAAAUCAUGUGAUAAGGAGCACGUGAUUACGAAUGAGAUUUCGAAUUCGACAAAAUUUUGUAAACCAGAAAAUAGUGGUGUGUUUAAAUCUGAAAAAUAUACGUGCGUUCGUACUGCGUAAUUUUUGAAUUUGAACUCGACACCGAUUGCGGUGCCGUUUGCGAUUUGAAAAUUUGUCAUUCCUUCGAAAUUUUCUCGUCGUUUUGUGAUGAAAUUACAAAAUCAACUGUAGCAGCAACAGAAGCAGCAGCAGCAGCAGCUGGAAGCAAUGGGAAUUGGAUAAUCGAGUGAUCGGAUGUCGCGUUUGGAUAUUUGGUUUUUUCUACAACUCCAGUUCGAUUUUGAUAAAAGUUUCUUUUUUUUUUUCACUUCUGUUUUCAUCCUCGGACAUCAGAUGGUUGGAUAGACACGGAGAAGGAUCGAGAGCUCGUGUGAAGAAUAAAGAAAUGAAGAAAGAGGAAGAAUGUGAUACUUUUGGUGACGAAUACGACCGUUUCAAAAUCACUACAUCAGGAUGAAGAUCCAGCUGCCUCGGAACGAUCGAACGGCUCGGGCAGCAACGGCAGCAAAAGUAGCGACAGCGAUAGGACGCCAUCGAUGAUCUAAAAUUUUUUUCAUCUAAAAUCGAUAUACUCUGUACAAGUGAAAAAAAGUGGUUUGUACGAAAGAAUUAUAAAAUUGAAAAUAAAAAAAAUUACAAUAAUACCGAGUAAACGAAAAAAGUUAAAACUAAAGAAUCAAAAGAGCAAAAAACAAAUCUGUGUUAACGCAAUUGGUGGCAAUUGACUGAAAGAAGAUCGAAUAGACUGUCGAUAAAAGAAAUUAAAAAUAAAAAUAAAAAAAAAACUUAAAAAAAGAAGUAAAAAUCAAAAUCAUAAUGGAUCAAAACGACAACAUUUUAGCGGGUCAAAUGGAUUCCAACGCUUCGUCGUCGAACGCAGCGCUGAGUCCACGUACACCACCGAAUUGUGCGCGUUGUAGAAAUCAUAGACUAAAAAUAGCACUCAAGGGACACAAGAGAUACUGCAAAUACCGUAGCUGUAAUUGCGAGAAGUGUAGGUUGACCGCGGAACGGCAAAGAGUUAUGGCGCUGCAAACUGCACUCAGAAGGGCGCAGGCCCAGGACGAAGCCAGGGUUCGGGGCCCGGAAGAAGUGGACCCACGUUCGGUGGUAGUUGAAGGUGAUCGUUUGAUAUCAGUUCCUCAACCUGCUGAAAGAAUUAGUUUAGAAGGUAGUUGUGACAGUAGCAGCGGAGGUUCGCCAGCGAGUAAUCACGACAGUAACGGCGGACACAGCGGGAUCGGUGGACCGAUCGUUACGAUACCAACGUCCCAGAAAUUGCCGCCUAUCUACCCCCACGCGGCUGCAGCGGCUUACCUACCCCAACGACGAAACGGUGAAAAUAUCGAAGUAUUACUCGAGUACAGUACAACACUGUUGCAGAGAUUUCGAUACCCUUGGGAAAUGUUACCUCUGAUGCUCGUUAUCCUGAAAGAUGCACAAGCCGAUUUGGAAGAAGCGUCCCGACGAAUUGCGGAAGCUGACUUCACUGCUGCAGCGCGGUCUGAAAUUAUUUAUUUUAUCGCGCCAUUUUGGCCCGCCGAUAAUACCGAAAAAAAUGAUGAGCUUUGUUCAUCAGCAAUUUGCAGAUUGCUGCAUUUCUCGCGCGAUGAAUGUAAAAUUUUUUGCAUGAUCUUCUUGUAUUUUCUGUACAAUGCAACUGCUAUUCGCCGUAUCGCAGCGAUAUGUGCAGCAGAAUCGAUAAAAUUUCACUUUUUCUCAAUCCGCCGUUACCGUAUGAGUCGGAGUAACGUUCAAUAUCGAAUCAAACAUCGUCUGGAAGAUUACAAAUUCAUCAAUGAAGAUUUAUACGAUUUGUCGGGAUAAUCACGUCAACGCAUCACUGAAGAUUUGACCACCAAAAUUGAAAAUGAAGGAGGAAACGGAGAGGAACGGUUCAGAGAUUAGCUCCGUUGUUCCACUUAUUUUCAGAUACGAUCGACGUGUAAUCCGUUGCUUUCCUUCGUCUCUGAAUUCUCAAUUUUGAUGAUCCGCAAUUUUUUUAAAAAUUGCAUUACGAUUAAAUGACGCGAUUUAUUCGCGUGCAGAGCAACACUGAAGAUAUGAUCCUGAUUUCGCUCCGAAGCAUCCUUACUUAUUCCAAGGCAGCAAGAUCAAUUUCGAAACUGCACGGAAAUAAAAAAAAUAAAUAAAAUUCUGGAGCAAAAUGCAUUUUGGACUGACAACGAUAUAUGACGAUAAUUUAUUGGAUUAAAAUCUCCAUUUUUUCAUCAUCAUAAGAUUUCAUAUUUCGUAUUUCGACAGUAUUAAAUAAUCUCCAUAUACUUGAUUGUGGAUUAAAAUACAUAGCCGGUUAAAAGUUCCUAAACACAUAAUGCAAGUACAUGGCUAAAAAAAUCCCCACGGAUUCUAGUCAAUCGCGAUAGUGUAAAUAAGAUAAAAAAAAUUAAAUUUUCAAUUACCGCGAAAGCGAGGGAUGCAAUUUUUUAUUUCUGUGAAAGAAGAAUUGUAAAUCAAAGAAGAAAGAAAGAAUCUGAAGAUUUUCUUUUAUCUCCGACGAAUAAAAUUUUUCAAAAUCUUCACACAUGUAUUUAUUACAUUGGCAAAUUUCUUUUGCAACGGAUGCGAUCACGAACCUAUAAAAUAAUGACGAAAAGAAAAUUUGAAGAAAAAACCCACACGUACAACACACACGCAAUAAUAAUAAAAAAAAAAAAAUCUGUAAGAACAAAAAAAAAGAAACGAAACGAAAAAAUGUACGUGACUUAUUAUAGAUGCAGCAAAUUGCUUGGUGCACAGGUAUAACAACAUAUGAUAUAUAAUUCGGUAGUAUUCUAAAUUGGAUCGUAAACAUUUUACGACUAGUUUGCGUGCAACAUAUGAAUACCAACGCGACUAGUUAUACCUAAACAAAAAAUACGUACACGUAUACGGUGAGGGGUGAGGGGGGUAAGGGCGCAAAAAAUGUCAGAUCUUUUGCCAGAUUGCACAAAUUGUUCUCAUUUCUUUUCUUGAGUUUUUUGAAGUUUUUUGUCGUUUUUAUUUUUCAAUCGUCCCUUUCGCACACGUUUCGCGCUGCACCGUUCGCAUCCGAUAUGCAAUAUAUAUAUAAUUCUCUCGCUAUAAAUGUUCGCGGUGAGAAACAGUAAACAUCUUAUAGCUAUUAUUCAACGUAUCAGACGUUAACAUUUUCACGCGUGUCGUUAUAAUAUCAAAUAUACGCUUCGCUGUGGAGCCCAUCGAUCAGAGCUACGCGCUCGUAAAUCUUUAUCGAACGCUCGACAACCUCACGCACCCGGCCAAAGCUGCCGGCAACUUACGAUUAACUUUUGUCAACUUUCGAGGAGGAGGAAAUUUCAUCCGCGGACAACGUCUUCGUCGAAAAUUUCUGACGUCGCGAAGAUAUACUAGGGGUAGUUUGACGAGAAACGAUUCCACGUUAAUCACCAGAGUCGACUGAUUCGGGAAAAGUUUUAUCGAUCUGAAAAUAGAGAUAGAAAUUUCGCAUCCAGCGUCCAUUGAGUAAAAAAUUAUAAAAAGUAGUGCGAAAAGUCCGCGGAAAAUGUCCGUUCGUAUCAUAAUAGUUCCGUCCAUCACCUUACGCCGUGUCACGUAUGUGCACAUACUACGUCUAUGUAUAGCGCGUGUGAAAUAUAUUCGCGAAUAGUUGGCACUCUGCAGAAUGAGCGUUGUUAAAAAAUGCAACAACUUUGCAGAACGAGAAACACGUGUUUCUUCGUCGGUGUCGUCGUCGUCAUACCGAGCGAACAACGAGAUAAGGACCUUGGCGUUCUGGGAGGCAACGAGAUUCAUCCGUGGCGGCCAU